rnacentral:rRNA from 1 species
UCCGUAGGCGGGUAAUUAAGUCAGAGGUGAAAUCCCACAGCUUAACUGUGGAACUGCCUUAGAUACUGGUUAUCUUGAGUUUUAGUGAAGUAGAUAGAAUGUGUAGUGUAGCGGUGAAAUGCAUAGAUAUUACACAGAAUACCGAUUGCGAAGGCAGUCUACUAACUAACAACUGACGCUAAUGGACGAAAGCGUGGGAGCGAACAGGAUUAGAUACCCUGGUAGUCC